UACGUAGGGGGCAAGCGUUAUCCGGAAUUACUGGGUGUAAAGGGUGAGUAGGCGGCAUGGUAAGCCAGAUGUGAAAGCCUUGGGCUUAACCCGAGGAUUGCAUUUGGAACUAUCAAGCUGGAGUACAGGAGAGGAAAGCGGAAUUCCUAGCGUAGCGGUGAAAUGCGUAGAUAUUAGGAAGAACACCAGUGGCGAAGGCGGCUUUCUGGACUGAAACUGACGCUGAGGCACGAAAGCGUGGGGAGCGAACAGG
rnacentral:rRNA from 1 species